AUUGAACGCUGGCGGCAGGCUUAACACAUGCAAGUCGAGCAGAGAGAGGUAGCUUGCUACUGAUCUUAGCGGCGGACGGGUGAGUAAUGCUUAGGAAUCUGCCUAUUAGUGGGGGACAACAUCUCGAAAGGAAUGCUAAUACCGCAUACGUCCUACGGGAGAAAGCAGGGGAUCUUCGGACCUUGCGCUACGAGAUGAGCCUAAGUCGGAGUAGCUAGUUGGUGGGGUAAAGGCCUACCAAGGCGACGAUCUGUAGCGGGUCUGAGAGGAUGAUCCGCCACACUGGGACUGAGACACGGCCCAGACUCCUACGGGAGGCAGCAGUGGGGAAUAUUGGACAAUGGGCGGAAGCCUGAUCCAGCCAUGCCGCGUGUGUGAAGAAGGCCUUAUGGUUGUAAAGCACUUUAAGCGAGGAGGAGGCUACUUUAGUUAAUACCUAGAGAUAGUGGACGUUACUCGCAGAAUAAGCACCGGCUAACUCUGUGCCAGCCGCCGCCGUAA
rnacentral:rRNA from 1 species